rnacentral:rRNA from 1 species
GACGAACGCUGGCGGCGUGCUUAACACAUGCAAGUCGAACGGAAAGGCCCUGCUUUUGUGGGUUGCUCGAGUGGCGAACGGGUGAGUAACACGUGAGUAACCUUCCCUUGACUUUGGGAUAACUUCAGGAAACUGGGGCUAAGACCGGAUAGGAUCGCCUGCUGCAUGGUGGGGGUUGGAAAGUUUCGGCGGUUGGGGAUGGACUCGCGGCUUAUCAGCUUGUUGGUGGGGGAGUGGCUUACCAAGGCUUUGACGGGUAGCCGGCCUGAGAGGGUGACCGGCAAAAUUGGGACUGAGAUACGGCCCAGACUCCUACGGGAGGCAGCAGUGGGGAAUAUUGCAAAAUGGGCGGAAGCCUGAUGCAGAAACGCCGCGUGCGGGAUGCCGGCCUUCGGGUUGUAACCCGCUUUAGCAUGUGACGAAGCGUGAGUGACGGUAAUGGGUAAAGAAGCACCGGCUAACUACGUG